rnacentral:rRNA from 1 species
CAAUAGCGUAUAUUAAAGUUGUUGCAGUUAAAAAGCUCGUAGUUGGAUUUCUGGUGGGAGCGAUCGGUCUGGCGCUUAGCGCGAGUACUUGCAUCGUCUCCGGCCAUCCUUGGGGAGAGUCUGUCUGGCAUUAAGUUGUCGGGCAGAGGAUCCUCAUCGUUUACUGUGAAAAAAUUAGAGUGUUCAAAGCAGGCUUAUGCCGUUGAAUAUAUUAGCAUGGAAUAAUAAGAUAGGACUUUGGUACUAUUUUGUUGGUUUGCGCACCAAAGUAAUGAUUAAUAGGGANAGUUGGGGGUAUUCGUAUUCCGUUGUCAGAGGUGAAAUUCUUGGAUUUACGGAAGACGAACUACUGCGAAAGCAUUUACCAAGGAUGUUUUCAUUAA